rnacentral:rRNA from 1 species
AGAGUUUGAUCAUGGCUCAGGACGAACGCUGGCGGCGUGCUUAACACAUGCAAGUCGAACGGAAAGGCCCCUUCGGGGGUGCUCGAGUGGCGAACGGGUGAGUAACACGUGGGUGAUCUGCCCUGCACUUUGGGAUAAGCCUGGGAAACUGGGUCUAAUACCGGAUAGGACUACGGCCUGCAUGGGUUGUGGUGAAAAGCUUUUGCGGUGUGGGAUGGGCCCGCGGCCUAUCAGCUUGUUGGUGGGGUGAUGGCCUACCAAGGCGACGACGGGUAGCCGGCCUGAGAGGGUGUCCGGCCACACUGGGACUGAGAUACGGCCCAGACUCCUACGGGAGGCAGCAGUGGGGAAUAUUGCACAAUGGGCGCAAGCCUGAUGCAGCGACGCCGCGUGAGGGAUGACGGCCUUCGGGUUGUAAACCUCUUUCAAUAGGGACGAAGCGCAAGUGACGGUACCUAUAGAAGAAGCACCGGCCAACUACGUGCCAGCAGCGGCGGUAAUAC